UACGUAGGGUGCGAGCGUUAAUCGGAAUUACUGGGCGUAAAGCGUGCGCAGGCGGUUUUGUAAGCCAGAUGUGAAAUCCCCGGGCUUAACCUGGGAAUGGCGUUGGUGACUGCAAGGCUAGAGUUUGGCAGAGGGGGGUAGAAUUCCACGUGUAGCAGUGAAAUGCGUAGAUAUGUGGAGGAACACCGAUGGCGAAGGCAGCCCCCUGGGUCAAAACUGACGCUCAUGCACGAAAGCGUGGGGAGCAAACAGG
rnacentral:rRNA from 1 species